rnacentral:rRNA from 1 species
AUUGAACGCUGGCGGCAGGCUUAACACAUGCAAGUCGAGCGGAGUGAUGGUGCUUGCACUAUCACUUAGCGGCGGACGGGUGAGUAAUGCUUAGGAAUCUGCCUAUUAGUGGGGGACAACAUUUCGAAAGGAAUGCUAAUACCGCAUACGUCCUACGGGAGAAAGCAGGGGAUCUUCGGACCUUGCGCUAAUAGAUGAGCCUAAGUCGGAUUAGCUAGUUGGUGGGGUAAAGGCCUACCAAGGCGACGAUCUGUAGCGGGUCUGAGAGGAUGAUCCGCCACACUGGGACUGAGACACGGCCCAGACUCCUACGGGAGGCAGCAGUGGGGAAUAUUGGACAAUGGGCGCAAGCCUGAUCCAGCCAUGCCGCGUGUGUGAAGAAGGCCUUAUGGUUGUAAAGCACUUUAAGCGAGGAGGAGGCUACUGAAGUUAAUACCUUCAGAUAGUGGACGUUACUCGCAGAAUAAGCACCGGCUAACUCUGUGCCAGCAGCCGCGGUAAUACAGAGGGUGCAAGCGUUAAUCGGAUUUACUGGGCGUAAAGCGCGCGUAGGCGGCUAAUUAAGUCAAAUGUGAAAUCCCCGAGCUUAACUUGGGAAUUGCAUUCGAUACUGGUUAGCUAGAGUGUGGGAGAGGAUGGUAGAAUUCC